rnacentral:rRNA from 1 species
ACUCCUACGGGAGGCAGCAGUGGGGAAUAUUGCACAAUGGGGAAACCCUGAUGCAGCCAUGCCGCGUGUGUGAAGAAGGCCUUCGGUUGUAAAGCACUUUCAGUAGGGAGGAAGGUAGUGUAGUUAACACCUGCAUUAUUUGACGUUACCUACAGAAGAAGCGCCGGCUAACUCCGUGCCAGCAGCCGCGGUAAUACGGAGGGGUGCGAGCGUUAAUCGGAAUUACUGGGCGUAAAGCGCAUGCAGGCGGCCUGUUAAGUCAGAUGUGAAAGCCCGGGGGCUUAACCUCGGAAUUGCAUUUGAAACUGGCAGGCUAGAGUCUUGUAGAGGGGGUAGAAUUUCAGGUGUAGCGGUGAAAUGCGUAGAGAUCUGAAGGAAUACCAGUGGCGAAGGCGGCCCCCUGGACAAAGACUGACGCUCAGAUGCGAAAGCGUGGGGAGCAAACAGGAUUAGAUACCCUGGUAGGAUAGCG